rnacentral:rRNA from 1 species
CUGGCCUUGACAUGGUAGGAACCCUUAAGAGAUUAGGGGGUGCUAGCUUGCUAGAACCUACACACAGGUGCUGCACGGCUGUCGUCAGCUCGUGUCGUGAGAUGUUGGGUUAAGUCCCGCAACGAGCGCAACCCUCGUCUUUAGUUGCUAACAGUUAGGCUGAGCACUCUAAAGAGACUGCCUCCGUAAGGAGGAGGAAGGUGAGGACGACGUCAAGUCAUCAUGGCCCUUACGGCCAGGGCUACACACGUGCUACAAUGGGGCGUACAGAGAGCUGCAAUACCGCGAGGUGGAGCCAAUCUCUUAAAGCGUCUCUCAGUUCGGAUUGUUCUCUGCAACUCGGGAACAUGAAGCUGGAAUCACUAGUAAUCGUAGAUCAGCUAUGCUACGGUGAAUACGUUCC